rnacentral:rRNA from 1 species
AGCAGCCGCGGUAAUUCCAGCUCCAAUAGCGUAUAUUAAAGUUGUUGCAGUUAAAAAGCUCGUAGUUGAAUUUCGGGAUCAAUUGAUUGGUCAUGCCUUGGUAUGAGCUGGUCAUAUUGGUUCUCACCUUCUAAUGAACCAUAAUGUCAUUCACUUGAUGUUAUGGGGAAUUAGGACUGUUACCUUGAAAAAAUUAGAGUGUUUAAAGCAGGCUUACGCUUGAAUACAUUAGCAUGGAAUAAUGAAAUAGGACAUCGCAUUCUAUUUUGUUGGUUUCUAGGAUCGAUGUAAUGAUUAAUAGGGAUAGUUGGGGGCAUUAGUAUUCAAUUGUCAGAGGUGAAAUUCUUGGAUUUAUUGAAGACUAACUACUGCGAAAGCAUUUGCCAAGGAUGUUUUCAUUAAUCAAGAACGAAAGUUAGGGGAUCGAAGACGAUCAGAUACCGUCGUAGUCUUAACCAUAAACUAUGCCGACUAGGGAUCGGAUGAUGUUAAUUUUUAAAUGACUCA